rnacentral:rRNA from 1 species
UACAGAGGGGGCAAGCGUUGUUCGGAAUUACUGGGCGUAAAGGGCGCGUAGGCGGCCGCCUAAGUCAGACGUGAAAUCCCUCGGCUCAACCGGGGAACUGCGUCUGAUACUGGGUGGCUUGAAUCCGGGAGAGGGAUGCGGAAUUCCAGGUGUAGCGGUGAAAUGCGUAGAUAUCUGGAGGAAUACCGGUGGCGAAGGCGGCAUCCUGGACCGAGAUUGACACUGAGGAGCGAAAGCCAGGGGAGCAAACGGG